CGAAUGGGAAUGGAGAAGAUAUCUCUAUUGUUGAAGAUUCAAAUACAAAGAAAGUUCGUUUUAAGGACACGGAUACGGCUUUGGAGGAUGUGAUAGUGGUGGAUCCUUUACCAAUGUCUCCGUUGUCGUGGAAGGACAAGUUAUUGGGGAAGGAUAAUCUCAACUAAGAUCACAAGAACAAAGCCCAGCCUACUGCUGAUAGUUUUUUUCUUUUUGAUCAGGAUGUGAAGGAAGUCUAUUGUAGAUGGUGUGCCCUCUAUAGACUUCUCUGAUAGAGUGUACCAAAUCCUGGAGAAGGAAAUGUCUACUUCGAUUAUUCUCAAGAUACUGGGCAGGAAUAUUGGAAUUUCAACAUUACAAAAUAAACUCUAUGGGAUUUGGAGACCGUCGAAACCAUUUCAAUUAAUGAACAUUGAAAACGGUUAUUUCCUUGCAAAAUUUCAGAAUUCCAUUGAUUAUGACAAGGUACUCUCUCAGGGGCCGUGGAUUAUAUUCGACUAUUAUCUUACUGUCCAGCCAUGGUCGAUUGACUUUAACUCCAAUCUUCCUUAUCCUAACUUGAUCCAAACUUGGAUUCGUUUCCCCAGACUUCCUAGUCACCUGUAUAAAAGACAGAUUCUCAUGGAAAUUGGGAGUCUGAUUGGCAAGAUUACAAAGCUGGAUAUCAACACGGAUAGUAGGGCAAGGGGACGAUACGCUCGUAUGGUAGUGUUUGUUAAUUUGGGGAGGCCUCUGAUCUCUAAGAUUCUCAUCAAUGGUAACCCGCAAAGAAUAGAAUAUGAAAAUUUACCUGUUGUGUGUUUUAAGUGUGGUCGUUAUAGUCAUACUGACGAAGCAUGCUCAUUGACUAUUUCGUCUAUAGGGGUGGUCGAGAAUGAGGUCUCAUCGGGGUAGGCUACUGUAGCGACUACGGCGAUCGGAGAAGGAGAAUACGGGGCCUUGGAUGUUGGUGGAGCAGAAAUCUAGACGUGGUAAUUUGGAAGGUGCGAAGAAAGGUAACAAUUUGAAAAAAAAGAGGAGAAAAUUCGGGAUCGCGUUUCCAUUCUCUGGCAGAUUUAGAGGCGAGUUCUUUAGAGCAAGAAUCUACCAAGAACCCUAAAUCAAUGUUGGAAAGUAAAGGUAAAGGAAUAUUAAUUGACUCUGACGUUAAUGUGAAUACAGGUAGGAAAGCUGUGGGGAACGGUCUUAAUAAAACCAAUCUGAAUUGGCCUAUUGGUAAGCCUUAAAAGGGACAGGCCCGAUCAUCCAAGUCCAACACUAAAAUGAUUACCCACUCCACGGGUGUGAAUAAGAAGGGCCUGGAGAAUCCGUUAGUUUUAAGUGCAGCUAAUCCACCUAAUUCGUCCAAUAAUGAAAAAACCCAUGGUAGUGGGUUUAGUGGGCUACAGUUGGAGCUUCAAUCUUCGAAGAACCAUUUAGAAACUGAUCCUAAG
rnacentral:lncRNA from 1 species